UCUUCGUUCUCCCAGUCGCCCCCACCAUCCCCGCACUCGCCGCUGCCACCACCCUUCAUCCCCCGUGCUCCGCCUCCUCCCCUCCCCUCCCGUCGCCCAAAUCACAUGCCCGCCGGUCGGGCCGCGGUGGCCAGAUUCGAAGACGGCCUGGCGGCGACCACUCCUGUGAGGCCCGGCGGCGAGCAGCGCGCGCCGAGGGGUAGAAGGGCGCUCUGGAUCCGGGCGCGAUGGCGGCCAUGGCCGAGCUCGAGCCCAGGCAUGUGGGUGCGUUGGUGAGCGCGGCGGCGGUCGGGGCCGAGCUCUGAGCACGGCGGCGGCCAUGGCUUAACUCGAGCGUCUCGUACGUGAUGAUUCAGGGGCGCAAUUCCGACGACUGUCAAAUCUUUAUUCUUGUGGUCGUUGGGCCAGAUUGGUUGUCACACUCAUCAAUCUAUGGGAGCUCCUUUUGGUCAACCCUCUUGUCUGCUCAUUGUUGGAUCUAUAGCAGCCUCCCUGUCUUCGUCCAGGGACUUACAGCCGCCUGUCGACAGUGUGUGCCGCCCGCCACCACCAACAAGAUAUGGGAGAAAGAGUUGGAGGUAGAGGGAGAUGGGGUGGUAAGAAGAGAGGGUGAGGAAGGAGGAAGUGGAUAUCCCCCAGCACCCAUGGUGGGCGCCCAGAUCCCAUCUCCACGCCACCACGAGGUGAGCGGAUUAGUGAAAUUGUGUUCAGUCCAUACUACAUGUCCUCGGAGGGUAUUAAAGCACAACUUUGGCCCUGAAAUCAAUGUCUGGAUUGCAGGAGUUAUAUGCGUCACCAUUUUAGGAAGAAACUAAAGAGGGAGUACCACAUGCAAUUAUAUGCUCUGUGGUAGAUUUAAAAAGAGACGCAUGGCCCAGAGUAUUUGAGCCUGCUAAAGACUUUGUUCGACAGAUGCUGGAUCCAAAUCUGAUCACACAGCUUACUGCAGCACAAGUACUCGGAUCUCCCUAAACACGCCUCAUCAAAUCCACCUGCGAGCUGCACGACAAGCUAUGAUUAAAUACCAUGUACAAGUAUGGGACAGAGUAGUACGAGCAAAUGAAGGUUACUGGACAGGCACAUGGAUCAUGAGCUCCUCUUUUUCAGGGGCCACCUUACUUGUGUGGCCUCAGGCUGAGGAGACCUUUCUAAGUUUUAACUAGGACCUGAAGAUGAUAAGGCACCACUUCCACGACGACAUCAACAUCGUCGUGGUGUGUCUUCAACGACACUCGGGGCGCUGUCAGAUAAUGGCCGUGGAGCAGCAACUGCACUAGUGACCCUGCCAUGACGAAGCUAUGGACAACACAUCACCAUAACCACAUUGAUGGUCCAAGCCCCAGUCUUGGCGCGAGGGUGCCGGUCUCAAUGAUGCUCCUCCUCUCCUUUCCUUGGCUGGUAGCGGCCUGUGCUGCACUUCUUACCCCGAGCGCCGUCCUCACCACACCUUGGCCUUGGCCUCGCCUCCUCUUCCUACAGGUCACCGCUACCAGCCGGUGGGUCACAAGAUUCACCCUGGCUACUCAGUAAACCGUCGCCCUCCAGCUGGUUAGAUAGAUCUAGCGAACUUUGGUGGGCAACUAUUUUGCCAGGCAGAUGCUUUCCUCUGCUCGGUCAAUUAUGUGUCAGUCCCAAGUACAGUUGAUCAGCGGCCGCACAACAUUGAAAUUGGUCAGAGGUAGGGUUAUUGUUGAGAAGCUUAGGGAUCAAGGGAUGGCCUUCCUUGUCGGCGGUGGAUCAGGUACACUUCACUCUUACAUCGCAGUGUUGCGUAUUGAUGUGGGUAUUAGUAAUUAAAGGCUUAAAGCUGCAAUGCCAUUUAUGUUGGUUUAAGUUUAGACCUUAUUAUUUUAGGUCUUAAACAUGACAAAGCUGUGAUUCUGUAAAAGCUCUAGGGCAUGUUGAUGCGAUAUAUUGCUGUGAAAUAGGUCAUGGCAAACUUUACUUUUACUCAAAUAUGGAUGUUGUUGACAUGGGAGUACUUACUACAGCAUCUGAUUCAGUAUACUUGCAGUAUUUUGUGUUAAACUAUUACCAGCUAGAUUUCUGGGAGCACCAAAUCAUGAUUUUAUUUCACACAAACAUGAAACCUGUCGUCUGAUGCUAAUUUUGUUUUGGCACUAGCAAAAUAUUGCAUCUUUAGUAAAUUCGACGGGGUCAUAACUUUGGGAGCUUUUGCUCUUUACCUUUGUUAGUAAUGCAGAAAAUUCUUGUUCCCCGGGAGGUGAUUACUGUCGAUUGUGCUUGUAUUUUGGCUAUGACAACCACCAUCAACUUUCUGUUAUAGAACCAUACCCCACAUAGAAGAGGAAUCCUUGUAUAUGGGGUGAGUAUAUCAUGCUUCUCCUUUUCCUACUACUUUUCGAAGAGGAGCGGUAUGUUCCUUUGUGUUGAGAUUUCCUUUGUUUCGUUGCACCAAGAAGCAUCAUUUUAUGCAGGGUGUCAACUAGCUAAAAGCAUCUCUGACAGGACGUUGCCCUGUCCCUGGCCAACAUCGAUGCGGUUCUUUCCUAUUGACCUGAGUUAUUUAAACGAUUCAUAUGAACAAUGAUUUUCUUUGCAUCAUUGUCAUAUCAUGUUGUUCAAUAAGUAUUUGUUUUCUUCACCUAUUCAAGAGAUAUUUUUUUAUAGUUAGAACAACUGAACAAAUAUAUUGUUUUGUGGUGAACUGACUAAGAAAAAAUAACGACCAGCAAAUUGUGCACUCGCAAGAGCCAUAUACUGUAAACUUAAGUGAUUGUCAAAUUCACUGACCGUAUGUGAAUUGGUGUAAUUAUUUUAGAAAGUCAAUUGAAUAUAUAAUCUAGAAAGAUUAGUAGCCCUGUCUCAGUAUAAAUUUCAUGCAUAGUAGUCUCGCAUGGCAUGUACAUAAACAGAGGAACGCACUACAUAAUCAGUUUUCGCACUACAUAAUCAGUUUUAUCUGCAGUGAAUAAACAAACACUAUCACUGAGCAUUUUUCUUGUGGAAGUUCUCAUCUCAGCUGACAUGUUUCCUGAUGCAAACUCAUUCAGUAUAGCCUUCACUGCACAUCAUUUGGUUGAUGUUUAGUUCUUGGGUUUCUGCAGAUGCAAACUGGAGCCGGCGACCAGCCCUUCUUCCUCGCCCUCAGCCUUGACACCACCGCUGACGCCUCCAGGAGCAGUCGGGCAUUAGCGGCGACGCCGGCAAGGCAACAUGCGUUGCAAUAUGCAAGCAAAUCAAAUAUUCAACCAUGUGGUUUACUAUUAUGCAGUGUGAAAAACGGUGUAAAUAAGUUAUCUGGGACUAAUACUAUAGCCUGCUUUUGAUUUCCACCAUAACAAACGUUGCUUAGGUAUUUCACAUGUCACAUUGUAUAACAAAUGCGCCGAUGGCAUGUAGGUAGGGCCAUUUUUUAGAUAUUUUACAGUGUGUUCACUGUUGUGAGUAUCUACCAUUACCUACUCUUUGAGUAAUAUCAGAUAUAUUUCCAUGAUAUAUUGAGUAAUAUCAUAUGUUGAUCGAAAAA